rnacentral:rRNA from 1 species
GACGAACGCUGGCGGCGUGCUUAACACAUGCAAGUCGAACGGAAAGGCCUCUUUCGGGGGGUACUCGAGUGGCGAACGGGUGAGUAACACGUGAGUAACCUGCCCUUGACUUUGGGAUAACUUCAGGAAACUGGGGCUAAUACCGGAUAGGAGCUCCUGCUGCAUGGUGGGGGUUGGAAAGUUUCGGCGGUUGGGGAUGGACUCGCGGCUUAUCAGCUUGUUGGUGGGGGAGUGGCUUACCAAGGCUUUGACGGGUAGCCGGACUGAGAGGGUGACCGGCCACAUUGGGACUGAGAUACGGCCCAGACUCCUACGGGAGGCAGCAGGGGGGAAUAUUGCACAAUGGGUGGAAGCCUGAUGCAGCAACGCCGUGUGCGGGAUGACGGCCUUCGGGUUGUAAACCGCUUUCGCUCAUGACGAAGCUUUGUGUGACGGUAGUGGGUAAAGAAGCACCGGCUAACUACGUG